rnacentral:rRNA from 1 species
UACAGAGGUCUCAAGCGUUGUUCGGAUUCAUUGGGCGUAAAGGGUGCGUAGGUGGCGCCAUAAGUCAGGUGUAAAAUCUCGGGGCUCAACCCCGAAACUGCACUUGAUACUGUGGUGCUCGAGUACUGGAGAGGAGAUUGGAAUUUACGGUGUAGCAGUGAAAUGCGUAGAUAUCGUAAGGAAGACCAGUGGCGAAGGCGAAUCUCUGGACAGUUACUGACACUGAGGCACGAAGGCCAGGGGAGCAAACGGG